GGGGAUGUAGCUCAGAUGGUAGAGCAUCGCGUUCGCAACGCGGGGGUCAGGGGUUCAAGUCCCCUCAUCUCCACCA
rnacentral:tRNA from 1 species